AUUUCACGCCAUCAUCAAUUUUGUCAACCUUUCAACUCUAAGUAAGCUCGGAUAGAUUCACUAAGAGCACUUCAAAUUCUCACAAGCACCAUGAAUCGAUCCAAGUAAAGGCUUCUUCAACUUGACCUUCUUGAAAGUAUAAACAAAAUCAAUAGUGGGAAGUACACCCUCUUCAUUGUCGACACCUCAACCACAGAUCGAACUUACUUAUAUCCCUCAUGAAUUAGUAGGUUGAGUUCCAAAUGGAGCUCUGCUGUUCAAGGACUCGAUCUAUUAGAUUUAUUGCUCUGUAGUUGAAAGUGAUGAUAAACUCUUGAUAUGAUGCUUUACUGUCCACGUGUAGUCCAGGGGCUUUACAUUGUAUUGUUGUGUUGUGAUGUUAUCAUUAUUGUCUCUCGUUAACCUGUUGUUGAAUUGUUGUUGUUUUAUUGUUACUGUUGUUGUCUUUGUUCAUGUACUUUUUUUUUGCCUUCCAUAUUUCCUAUUUUAACAUUUUUAUGUGCAAAUUAGGGAUUUGGUCUCUGCCAUCCUUAUAAUUAUUUUUUCUGCAUUUGGUACUUCCUGAAUAUCAUUGAAAAUCAGUAUACUUGUACCUGCAAAAAAAAAAUAAGGUUAGAAAAAAAAUCCUCUAGGGAGUUCCCUUCUCUUAGUGUGUGAACCACCUUCAUCAUCCCUUCAACAUCCUUUAUUAUUCCGAGGUGUUUCCUAACUCUUGUCAAUAAUCUUUUGUAGACACAGAGAAUAAGUUUCAAGUAUCACAGGUAGAAAGUUAUGUUCAACACAAUAUUCUAAACCAUAUCACAGAACCACAACUUUAGCUUGUAGGACAGUCCUUCAUCUAACACUUUACUCUCUGCAUAC
rnacentral:lncRNA from 1 species